GACGAACGCUGGCGGCGUGCUUAACACAUGCAAGUCGAACGGAAAGGCCCUGCUUUUGUGGGGUGCUCGAGUGGCGAACGGGUGAGUAACACGUGAGUAACCUGCCCUUGACUUUGGGAUAACUUCAGGAAACUGGGGCUAAUACCGGAUAGGAGCUCCUGCUGCAUGGUGGGGGUUGGAAAGUUUCGGCGGUUGGGGAUGGACUCGCGGCUUAUCAGCUUGUUGGUGGGGUAGUGGCUUACCAAGGCUUUGACGGGUAGCCGGCCUGAGAGGGUGACCGGCCACAUUGGGACUGAGAUACGGCCCAGACUCCUCCGGGAGGCAGCAGUGGGGAAUAUUGAACAAUGGGCGGAAGCCUGAUGCAGCAACGCCGCGUGCGGGAUGACGGCCUUCGGGUUGUAACCCGCUUUCGCCUGUGACGAAGCGUGAGUGACGGUAAUGGGUAAAGAAGCACCGGCUAACUACGUG
rnacentral:rRNA from 1 species